rnacentral:misc_RNA from 1 species
CUGCCUCUGCCCCCUCGCCACCAGAAGUAGCUCGCGCGCGGUAGCAGCGUCCAGCCGCUGCCUUGCCUCUGCCCCCUCGCCACCAGAAGCAGCACGCGCGGCAGCAGCGUCCGCCAGCCGCUGCCUUGGAGCCCCGAAACAAAUCCGAUUUCUUGGUCGCAGAUACUGCAGAGGGCGAGAGGUUUGCUUUUGCUCCCUGGGACUCUCAAGGAGCACUCGUUCUAGGGUGAGGUCCUCAGAACAUGCUUUUCGUGCGACUCGUGGUCUUGAUUCUCUGAGUCAGAUCCCCUUCUUUCUUUGUUUAUGCUUAAUUAAUUUACUAGAUCUGCCUCGUGCGACGAGAGGAGCUAAGACGAGAGAAAAAGAUCAGGAAAAGGAUGUGAUGAUGGAUGAACCAAUUUAUUAUGCUUCAGUUUACUUUGUUCGAUUUUUUUCCUAAUUUUUUAAGUACUGUUUAUAGCAUCA